GCCUGGGUGGCUCAGUCGGUUGAGCGUCCGACUUCGGCUCAGGCCACGAUCUCACGGUUCGUGAGUUCGAGCCCCACGUCAGGCU
rfam:Felis catus isolate Cinnamon breed Abyssinian chromosome D1, whole genome shotgun sequence.